rnacentral:rRNA from 1 species
AGUGAACGCUGGCGGUAGGCCUAACACAUGCAAGUCGAACGGCAGCACAGUAAGAGCUUGCUCUUACGGGUGGCGAGUGGCGGACGGGUGAGGAAUACAUCGGAAUCUACUUUUUCGUGGGGGAUAACGUAGGGAAACUUACGCUAAUACCGCAUACGACCUACGGGUGAAAGCAUGGGAUCUUCGGACCUUGCGCGAUUGAAUGAGCCGAUGUCGGAUUAGCUAGUUGGCGGGGUAAAGGCCCACCAAGGCGACGAUCCGUAGCUGGUCUGAGAGGAUGAUCAGCCACACUGGAACUGAGACACGGUCCAGACGCCUACGGGAGGCAGCAGUGGGGAAUAUGGGACAAUGGGCGCAAGCCUGAUCCAGCCAUACCGCGUGGGUGAAGAAGGCCUUCGGGUUGUAAAGCCCUUUUGUUGGGAAAGAAAAGCAGCAGGUUAAUACCCCGCUGUUCUGACGGUACCCAAAGAAUAAGCACCGGCUAACUUCGUG